rnacentral:rRNA from 1 species
AUUGAACGCUGGCGGCAUGCCUUACACAUGCAAGUCGAACGGCAGCACGGGUGCUUGCACCUGGUGGCGAGUGGCGAACGGGUGAGUAAUGCAUCGGAACGUACCCGGAAGUGGGGGAUAACGUAGCGAAAGUUACGCUAAUACCGCAUAUUCUGUGAGCAGGAAAGCAGGGGAUCUUCGGACCUUGCGCUUUCGGAGCGGCCGAUGUCGGAUUAGCUAGUUGGUGAGGUAAAGGCUCACCAAGGCGACGAUCCGUAGCGGGUCUGAGAGGAUGAUCCGCCACACUGGGACUGAGACACGGCCCAGACUCCUACGGGAGGCAGCAGUGGGGAAUUUUGGACAAUGGGGGCAACCCUGAUCCAGCCAUGCCGCGUGAGUGAAGAAGGCCUUCGGGUUGUAAAGCUCUUUUGUCAGGGAAGAAAUGGACUGGGCUAGUACCCUGGUUAGAUGACGGUACCUGAAGAAUAAGCACCGGCUAACUACGUGCCAGCCGCCGCGGUAAAAC